rnacentral:tRNA from 1 species
GCGGGAUUCGUAUAUCGGUAAUACAUGAGUUUUCCAAACUCAAGAGACGGGUUCGACUCCCGUAUCCCGCUCCA